rnacentral:tRNA from 1 species
GCACCGGUAGCUCAAUUGGAUAGAGUACCCGNNAGAGGUUCGAAUCCUCUCCGGUGCGCCA